rnacentral:rRNA from 1 species
CAGUCGCCGCGGGAAUACGGAGGGUGCAAGCGUUAAUCGGAAUUACUGGGCGUAAAGCGCACGCAGGCGGUCUGUCAAGUCAGAUGUGAAAUCCCCGGGCUUAACCUGGGAACUGCAUUUGAAACUGGCAGGCUAGAGUCUUGUAGAGGGGGGUAGAAUUCCAGGUGUAGCGGUGAAAUGCGUAGAGAUCUGGAGGAAUACCGGUGGCGAAGGCGGCCCCCUGGACAAAGACUGACGCUCAGGUGCGAAAGCGUGGGGAGCAAACAGGAUUAGAUACCCCGGUAGUCCCUGUCUCUUAUAC